AUUAAGUUCCUGACUAAACCGACCAAGUGCUCGACGAAUUAAAGAAUAAAACUAGCAAAAACCACAACCAAAGAGGAAACUGUGCAAGAGCCGGUGACCCGUGAGUGAAUGUAAUCAAGCUCCGGUUCCACCACAGCCGAAGGACAGUCGCGCGCUCGAUGUUCCUGCACGCGGGGACCACGUGACUCACACAGCACCAGUUGACACUGACCUGAAGUGACUCCUGGGCCGCUCUGAUUGGAUGGACAUGUAGCUGGUGCUACUGAUCCGUGAGGCACUGCUGGCACGAGAGAUGGCUGACACGUCACUGACAUCACUGUCUGAGGAUUUAUGGGAUACAUUAUCACAGCUCCGAUGCUGCUCUUUAUAAAGCUGUAACAGAACAGAAAACAUGCAGAAGAUACAGUACAAGUUUUAAGUACAGAUAAGACAGAGAGAAAUAAAAAAAAAUAAGAAUAAAAGUAAAAAACUAUAAUGGGAUGUAUAUAAAUAUUAAGGACAAACAUGGUAUAAAGAUGGGCCUGACAGCAGUGUGAGGAACGAUAGGAGAUGUUACCUCUCGUUUGUUCUUGAGCACCCUCUCCAGGUCCUGGCUGGUACUGGAGGGAGCUGGUGUCCUGUAGGAAUGUACUUUCAUCUGCCGUGUUCGCUCCUCUGAAGCAAGAGCUGAAAU